rnacentral:rRNA from 1 species
AGUGAACGCUGGCGGUAGGCCUAACACAUGCAAGUCGAACGGCAGCACAGUAAGAGCUUGCUCUUACGGGUGGCGAGUGGCGGACGGGUGAGGAAUACAUCGGAAUCUACUUUUUCGUGGGGGAUAACGUAGGGAAACUUACGCUAAUACCGCAUACGACCUACGGGUGAAAGCAGGGGAUCUUCGGACCUUGCGCGAUUGAAUGAGCCGAUGUCGGAUUAGCUAGUUGGCGGGGUAAAGGCCCACCAAGGCGACGAUCCGUAGCUGGUCUGAGAGGAUGAUCAGCCACACUGGAACUGAGAAACGGUCCAGACUCCUAAGGGAGGCAGCAGUGGGGAAUAUUGGACAAAGGGCGCAAGCCUGAUCCAGCCAUACCGCGUGGGUGAAGAAGGCCUUCGGGUUGUAAAGCCCUUUUGUUGGGAAAGAAAAGCAGCAGGUUAAUACCCCGCUGUUCUGACGGUACCCAAAGAAUAAGCACCGGCUAACUUCGUG